rnacentral:lncRNA from 1 species
GGCCACUCUAUACCACAGACACCUAUCUGUAAGAACUUUCCUUCUGGUGGAGAUGAGACGUCUAUGUCCAUGACUGAACAUAAGUGCUGAUGGCUUUCCAAGGACUCUGAACAUCCGAGGGAGAAGACAGACCUUGAGGAGGAGAUGGGUAAAAUGUGGAACAGCAUAGCUUGAGUUUGGAUUGGUGCACAGCAAAGGAAGGGAGAGAGCAAGCUCUGCCUGGUGGUCCUGGUAGCUGAUGGUGACCUCCACAUUCCUGUCUCUCCUAACAGGUUAGAAAACUUUGUUCUAUCUCUCAAAUGUGAGGGAGAUUACCAAAUUCACUCACCCAAUGUAGACAUCCAACAAGUUCCCCUGGAUUAUAAUAGCCACUACAGAUAAGAAGCACGGGGGGGGUGGAGGUGGGGGUUGGCUGACCCCACUAGGCUUCAACCUAGUGAUGCCUAAGUCUUUAUCCAUGACUUAGUUUUUAUCAGGAUCUUCAGUUCUCUGCAUCCCAAAGACACAAAUGCAUGUAGUCCACUUCCUGUUGUUACAAUGCAAUAUCUGAGACUGGGUAAUUUAAAAAGGAAAGACAUUUAUUUUGGCUCCUGGGAACCCAACAUCAGUUGGUCACACUGGUGAGGGCCCCAUGCUGCUUCAUAACCUGACAGAAGCCAGAAGGGCAAGUGGAUGUUUGUGAAAAGCUCCAAACACAAGAGGCAACCUUGUUCUGUAAUGACUGUUUUCACAGUGACUGAAACCAGUCCUACAAGAUAGGGAACUCUCUACCGAGAGGAGCAUCAACCAGUGAGAAAGGCAUUGAUCUCUCUAAAAGACCUAAUCGCUCCCUGAAGGCACCGCCUCCCAGCACUACAGUAGUAAUCAUGUUUGGGAGCAGACAAACCAUAUUCACAUCAUAGCACACACUGCCACCCAUCUCAGAGGGGUGAGCUGGGCGUCAUCUAUCUCUUUGCUAUUAGUUUCCAGAAUUUGCAUGGCCAUAGACUCAGGUGCUCUUUAUAUUUGAUAGCCAGGGACUCACUCGUGUCCAGUGGACACAUUAUCUCUUCUGUGUCCUUUCUCUGGGUCCCUCCCUUCUUUCAACCCACACUAGUCUUCUAACCUCCUUCUGAUUUAGAUAUGCAAGAUGUGAGGAAUCUGAAAUGUAACUCAGCCCAUAGUGUUCUGCUGGCUGUCUUGAUGGGCAGAGGUGGGAAACAACAGAAGACAGCACAGCCCUCCUAUGUGGGAGGUUAGGAGCCCAGAGACUGGAGCAGAGUUCUAGUUAAUAGAGAGUUCUACUUAAUAUGUCUCUUGCCUGUUUGGGAUUUUCAGCUCAUCCCUAGGCUCAUCAGGCUCCUUAGCACAUAGGCACCAAUUAACAGACACCCAAAGUAUCCAUAAACUUAGCUCCCCAAGUUGCUGCUGUCUUUUCAAUUUGAGGAGGAGGGGAAGUGGUCAGUGAACGAGCCAGCCUGUGUGUUUUCAAUAAACCACACGGGCCAUGGAUUGCAUUGUGUUGGAAAGAUGCCCAGAAUGCUGCUUCCCAUCUAUGUGACCCCAUGUCUGGGGAACUAAUCGGUAAUUGAGAGGGUGUUUGGCAGGGGUGGAGAGGGUGUUUGGCAGGGGUGGAGAGGGUGUUUGGCAGGGGUAGAGGUGGAGCAAAGUGAAGUGAGAAGACUUUGGCAAUACUCUGUCCAGACUCUAGUGAAAUAAACCUGUCACGUGAUUCAUAGGACGCAAGAAUCUUCCUGGGUGACCCAAUCUCCCACAUCUCCUCUCUCUUUGUCUGCAGGGUUCAACGUCAAGAGGAGACAUCUGCAAAUCUAAGUCAGAAAGAUUCCAGGUGUGUCCAACUUGACUGACUCAGGCGGGCAGGAAACUCUGGCGUUUUAAUCUGCCACUCAUAAAGAUUGACUGAGCUUUCAACUCUACCCAGCCCUAUGCAAAUGUUGUAGAGAACAAAACAAAAGCUCAUGUCCCCUGGAGUUGAUUGUUUAGAUGUAUGACACACUUGUGGCUCACUUAUGGGCCCUGCAUGCCGGGUGCUGUGGGAGACUGAAGUAAGAGCCAUAGUCUCUGACUGGUAAACCCAGGCUGCAGCUGGAGGAGAAGGCUGGGUUUCAUGAUCCACCUAGACCAUCAUGUGUAGUGAGCUGGGUCUAUGUAUUGCCUCCUAUUCUUCAGGAUAGGGUAGGGUGUGGGCUGGAGUGGACAGGGGUGGUUUAUGGAGGGAGGAGGGGUCCUGGGGGAAUCUUGAAGGGUGCUAGGACUGGAACAGACAAGGAGGAGGCACAGGAACCCAGGAUCAACACAAGACCACGUGCAAGGGGUUCAGGCCACAAGAGGUCGGCUGUUUGUAAUUGUAGGUUAGGGAGAAGAAGGGGUUAUCUUGCUUAGUGUCAGUGCAGAGAAAACCUUCCUCUGCAGGACUAAUAAAUAUUGGAGGUGGUAAGUAUGAUGAUUACUCAGUUCUUCACACAUUGUGUGUGUGUGCACCAAAACAUCACACCCCAUCAGUGUGUACAGUGAUUAGCAUCAGUUUAAAAAACCGAAACUCUGUACCCAUUAAAUAGCAGCUCUUCAUUCUCCCCUUCGUGCUGCCUUUGGUAAAUAGCAUUCUAUUUCCUGUCUAUGAAUUUGACCAGUCUAGGUAUCUCAUAUAGGUGGGAUCACAUAAUACUUGUUUGGAUUAUUUUACUUAGUGUAAAGUCUUCAAGUUCCAUCCAUGUUGUAGCAUGUAUUAGAAUUUCCUUCAUUUAUUUAUUUAUUUAUUUAUUUAGUGCUGGUGAUCAAACCCAAUUUCCUUUCUUUUUAAGGCUGAGUAAUAUUCCAGUGUACAUCUGUAAUACUGUUUGUUUACUGAUUCAUCUGUCAAUAGACACUUGGGUUGUUUCCAACUAAAGGCUGUUGUGAAUAAUGCUGCUGUGAACAGGAGUCCUUGUUUUCAGCUUUUUUGAGAAUAAAUCCAGAAGUGAAAUUACUACAUCACAUGGUAAUGCCAUUUUUAAUUUUUUGAGGAGCUGCCACACUGUUUUCCACAGUGGCCAUACCAUUUUACAGCAGUGCUCAAGUGUUCCAAUUAUGUAGUCCCCUACCACGUUAUCUAUGGCUUCACUUUCUGUGGUUUCAGUUAUCUGAAGUUUCAGCUACCUGUGAUCAAUCACAGAUUGAAAAUAUUAAGUGAAAAAUUCCAGUAAUAAAGAGUUAAUAAGUUUUAAACUGUGCA